rnacentral:miRNA from 15 species
UCACUAGAUUCUAGGUCGUUGA